GGUUGAUCCUGCCAGUAGUCAUAUGCUUGUCUCAAAGAUUAAGCCAUGCAUGUCUCAGUACAAGCCUAAUUAAGGUGAAACCGCGAAAGGCUCAUUAAAUCAGUUAUGGUUCCUUAGAUCGUACCCACACUUACUUGGAUAACUGUGGUAAUUCUAGAGCUAAUACAUGCAAACAGAGCUCCGACCGGAGACGGGAGGAGUGCUUUUAUUAGAUCAAAACCAAUCGGCGGCGGGCGCGUCCGCGCGUCCGUUCGCCGCUCUACUUGGUGACUCUGAAUAACUUUACGCUGAUCGCACGGUCUCGCACCGGCGACGCAUCUUUCAAAUGUCUGCCUUAUCAACUGUCGAUGGUAGGUUCUGCGCCUACCAUGGUCGUAACGGGUAACGGGGAAUCAGGGUUCGAUUCCGGAGAGGGAGCCUGAGAAACGGCUACCACAUCCAAGGAAGGCAGCAGGCGCGCAAAUUACCCACUCCCGGCACGGGGAGGUAGUGACGAAAAAUAACGAUACGGGACUCAUCCGAGGCCCCGUAAUCGGAAUGAGUACACUUUAAAUCCUUUAACGAGGACCAAUUGGAGGGCAAGUCUGGUGCCAGCAGCCGCGGUAAUUCCAGCUCCAAUAGCGUA
rnacentral:rRNA from 1 species